AAAUUAGGGCAUCGACCUCGAGUGGAGCCCUGGCAAUAUAAAUUGGUAGAGGUCGAUCAUUCGAGAAUCGAGAUCCAUCCAUUGCCGAAACUAGAAGGUGCAGCGAAGACUGUUGGGGAAGAGCGUUCAAAAGGGUCUGAAACGCUAUGAGGGCUAAGUGGAAGAAGAAGCGCAUGAGGAGGCUGAAGAGGAAGCGCCGAAAGAUGCGACAAAGAUCUAAGUAGGGGGAUUUCGACAUUGUCUCCUCCGCAAAUCUCAUGAUUUUCUAUUGCGAGAUCCAAUAGAAGUGUGAGUCUUCAAGGAGGCAUUCUUUCCGUCAGGAGUUCCCUUUCUUCUGUUUUAAGUAUUUUGUUUAAUCUUGUUGGAUUGCUAAGAAUUUGUUCUAAGUUUUUGUCAAACUUCGUAUGAAUUUGUCUUUGUUUAACAUCGAUCUAUUAGUACACUUUAAUAUGCUUUCGGAAUUGUUGAAGUUUGAUGUUGUUGAUUGA